UUAGCAAAGAAUCACCCCACACAAAGAUGGCGCGUGCAGAAUUUGUGAAAGCGAAAAAGAAGACGAAGGAGAAGCAAAAGAGGGACGGAACAUUGCAGUGCUGGGGUGCAGCUGGAGUCCAGAAAUGAUUUUUUUCGAUGAAUUUAGGAUUUUGCCGCAGUAUACAUCUGCAGUCCCAGAAUCCUCCGUGUGGCAACGACUGCUGUGUCAAACCAAGGAAGGCCUCGAGAGCGCUAACUCCAUGCAGGAACCGUGUCCCUGGCGUAACGGAAGCCGCCAUGAUCAUAGCCGCCACUGCUGCCGCCACGGCCACCACCAUGGCCAUCGCCUCCCACCACCUUCACAGCCCCCUCCCUCAUUCUGCAAUGCACUCCAGAUGCAAGCUUUCCACAGUGGCUCUCCGCCGAAUUUGCCCAGUGGGUUCCUAGAUUACUUCUGUGUGCGAGAAUAGCCAACCAUGUAGUCUGACAAGAGGUAUUUACAACUGCUUAGCCUGUUCAGCUGGAAAGAAAUCAAAAGAUAACACUGAACCCUGAGAUGAUGUAUUGCAAAUCAAAAGUCCCGAUCCAUAAAUAGCCCACUUGAUGAGCUGCUAAAGGAAAACCUGAUCUGAUUAUUGUCCAAUGUUUUCGCUUUGUCAAAAGAAAUAUUUUUAACAGAACUUAGAGGAUUGGGGCUGUUUAUAAACGCAUGGAAUAUUAUUUAGUCUUACCUUUCUGCUGGGAGAGGCUUCUUCUCAAGGAGAUUCGGAUACAGAAUCCAGAGGAGACCACACCCUCAGUACACAGCUCUUAUUUUCUACUGUUUCUGUUUACUUUUAAGUAAGAUUGAUUAACAGCUAUAAUUAUGCAUUAAUUUAAGGGAGCUAAUCAAAAGAAGCCAGCCACUCAUUUCCCUCUCUCUAAAGGAAGCUCAUUGUCUUAGUGUUCAAUAAAUGUUUCAUUAAUGGA